UGCUGAUUAGCUUAGUUGGCUAGAGCACCGCCCUCAUACUCUGUGGUGAGGCGGAAGCGCCAAUUCGAUCCUGGCGUCGGCAA